rnacentral:rRNA from 1 species
GACGAACGCUGGCGGCGUGCUUAACACAUGCAAGUCGAACGGAAAGGCCCUGCUUUUGUGGGGUGCUCGAGUGGCGAACGGGUGAGUAACACGUGAGUAACCUGCCCUUGACUUUGGGAUAACUUCAGGAAACUGGGGCUAAUACCGGAUAGGAGCUCCUGCUGCAUGGUGGGGGUUGGAAAGUUUCGGCGGUUGGGGAUGGACUCGCGGCUUAUCAGCUUGUUGGUGGGGUAGUGGCUUACCAAGGCUUUGACGGGUAGCCGGCCUGUGAGGGUGACCGGCCACAUGGGGACUGAGAUACGGCCCAGACUCCUACGGGAGACAGCAGUGGGGAAUAUUGCACAGUGGGCGGAAGCCUGAUGCAGCAACGCCGCGUGCGUGAUGACGGCCUUCGGGUUGUGAACCGCUUUCGCCUGUGACGAAGCGGGAGUGACGGUAAUGGGUAAAGAAGCACCGGCUAACUACGUG